AAAACUGAACCGAAUUACCAAAUUUCAUUGGUUUGGUUGGUUUAUUUGGUUCAAACAGAAUAAUGCUUAACCCUACAUAAAAGAAUGCACAAAAGACACUUGGGUUAAAAGGAAAAAGAAGAACAAAAAAAAAGGUUAAUAAUGAAAAAUAUAUCAAACUUUAAAGAAUCCAAAAAAAUCUCUAGCAGCGGCCAGCCAUAGACACCAGAAUGUUCCUCCCUUCUACGUUUUUGGAAACCGCCGCCCGCCCG
rnacentral:misc_RNA from 1 species